AAAGGUCAUAACUCUUUCACAGCAAAGGUGAAACUUGUUCCAAGUUUCUUUUUCCAUGCUUUAUCAUGGGAAUAUUAAGAUAUAGAAGGCAAAAUUUAACCAGCGCUGGGAAAGCAAGAUAAUUCCAAGGGUAAAGGUCUAGACCCUCAGUCGUAUUUCGUGAAGCAGCACUGUUUCCACAGCCUGGAUGGAAGGAGAGAAGGGCUCCAGCAAACUCAGGAGGAUGCCGACCCCAUGAGAGCCUUCCUCAGAAGGAUACAGCCACUCAGCCCUUUAGGUCGAUUCAGAAGAAGGUGCCAUGUGCUCUUUGCAUGGUAAGAACCAUGUUUUCCUGGCCUGACUCUCGAUCGCCACCAGACUUCUAUUAUUUGCAGUCAGUAACAAAGAUUCAUCCUUGUGUCCACCAAGCAACAAGGAGGAUCUUUGUCACUCAGUGUAAUUAAUAGCUACACUUCACAUGGGAAGAUGGAAGAAGGAUGCCCUUCACAAACAGCCUUGGGUGGAUUCAGAAGAGGCUUCAUGAAUCCUUGCCACCUUUUGACCAACUAAGGUGCCAGAACUCCAACAGAGUGUUUCACAGUGUUUUGAAGAAGAGGUGGAAAAAGGAGAUACAAAAGCAAAGAAGUAAAAAAUGAAUUUCCUGGAAAACAAUUCUCCGCAAGAUGAGAAGAUGGCACCUUCUUUCCAUCUUCAGAGAUGGGUUGACCUCAUAAAUGCUUUUUGUACUUCUGAACACUAGGCUCAUUCUUAUCUGUCUAGUCCUAUCCAUCAGCCUUCAAAAGCAUUCAAGUUCUCUCAAAAAUAUCUAUACCCAAAAGUUAUGAAAAUGAGCAUAUCGGUGCAAAUGGAGCACAGAAUCAUCUUGGCACCAAAUCCUUUCCUUCCUGCUGCUGAGAUAUCCACUGAAUCAGGCAAAUAGAGUUCUGUGCUAAACCCCUGGGAGAGUUCCCUAGGACUGAAGUUCAAUUUUGUAAAACUUAAAAUGUCUUUGAAACAGAUGACUAUCUUCCAGAAGUUUCUAAACCAUAUGUUCCAAUGAUAUUAAUAAUAAGUAUCAUUCUAUUCUAAGUCUUAUAUUCUUCAUAAUCUUAUAAGAGAGGUAUGAUUAUUUCCAACUUGCGAAUGAAGAAACCAAAGCCUACAGAGACUAAAUAACUUGCCCAGAGUAACACAGCUGGUAAAUUGCCAAAUAUGAACCUGGUUGGUCUGACUCUACAACCAAUAUUAGGAAUGAGCGCACUGUACUUCUCAACUAUCCCUUCCUGGGACUCAGUUUUUAUCUGCUAGCCAAUUGAAAUGGUUCUAAUUAUCCUAAUCCACUGGUUGGGAUGUCACUAUAAAUGCUGCACUGGUUUUGUUUAAAAUCCCAUUACACGAGUUUCAUAAAGCAAACCACUAUUGAAAAGUCAGACUUACUCUAAGGCCACUAUUAAGUUUCUGAGGCCAUACUCAUUGUGUGUUGAGAUCACUGCAUCCAUAAAUAAGCUAGAAAGAGUAAAUGACUGAUUGCUCCUCUGUGAACUCUUCAACAAUUUUCUCAUAUCUUAAAAUGAUCUCUCCCCUCCAAAUCCAUAGUGAAUCAUUAGGUGGUAUUUGAUUCCAUAACAAUAGGAAAUGCACUGGUUCCAUGAACGUAAUCCCUGGAUGUCAUGAUCGAAUAUGCGUUUUGUUAGUUUGGCUGGUACUUCACGUGGGUUCUCAUCAAUAAGCCUAUUUUACCCUGUCAGGAAGCAUGAGAUCUAUGGCAGCCUUUCUUCUUUUAAUUUUAUUUUUUAAUUGAAGCAUGGUUGAUUUUACAAUACUGUGUUAGUGUCAGGGAUACAGUAAAGUGAUUAAGACAUAUAUAUGGUAUAUAUGUGUGUGUAUAUAUUCAUAUGUAUACAUAUAUAUGCUUACUUUAGUAGGGAUACUUUUUUCAGAUGCUUUUCCAUUUAUAGGUUAUUACACAAUAUUGACUACAGUUCCUUGUGCAAUACAGUAGGUCUGUGUUGUUUAUUUUAUAUGCAGUAGUAUAUAUAUGUCAAUCUCAAAUUCCCAAUUUAUCCCCCAACCCCGCUUUCCCCUUUGGUAACCAUAACUUUGUUUUCUAUGUCUGUGAGUCUACUUCUGUUUUGAUAAGUUCUCUUGUGUCAUUUUUUUUUUUUUAGAUUUCACACUUAAGUGAUAUCAGACGAUAUUUGUCUUUCUCAGUCUGACUUACCUCACAUAGUAUGAUAAUCUCUAGGUCUACCAUGUUUCUGCAAAUGGCAUAAUAUCAUCCUUUUUCAUCACUGAGUAAUAUUUCAUUGUGUAUAUGUAUAUAUAUAUAUACACAUUGCAUAUAUAUAUAUGUACACAUAUACACAAUGAAAAAUAUAUAUAUAUAUAUCACAUCUUUAUCCAUUCAUAUGUCAAUAGACAUUCAGGUUGCUUCCAUAAUGGUAACGUUUCUUGAAAUAUGCAUUCACUAACUUCAUGGAUUUCCUCCUCCCAAAAGAAAGCUCCACAACACUAAUAGGGCUGGUAUCCUAGGAAAGGUAGUGGAAGCAGUAGCAGGAGUAGUAGUACUAGUAAUGGUAGUAGUAACAUUUCACUGAGUACCAGGCACAGUGCUGUGAUUCUGCUUCACCACAUCCCUAUAUGAUGACGUAAGUACUAGGAGUUUCCCAUUUUAAAGAUGAGGAAGUCGAGGUAGAGAACAAGGAGGGUAUCCUGGCCAUCGGAAAGUCGAGAUUUCAUAACCACUUUGUAUUGGGCAGGCAGGCAGUCUCUCUACUAUGGCAAAUAAUCCUGAGUCUCAGCAGCUUAAUCUAAUAAAGGUUUAUUCCACUUGUA